rnacentral:lncRNA from 1 species
AUAUAAAACUUUUUUUGUCAUCACCCUUACUUUAUAGAUAUAUAAAUAUAUAUAAUUAUUUAAAUAAAUAAUAAAUAUAAUUUUUACUAUUUUGAAUAAUAAGUUUCUGAAUUCAAACUUUAAUUAAAUUUUCAAAAAGUUAAAUAUUUAUUGAAAUCCAAUUUUUUUUGAAACUAUUUUUUAUUUUAUUUUAAAUUCUUAGUAUUUGUUUAUUAUUUUUAUAAAAAAAUUCCUAAAACCCACUUCUGACCAAAACCACACCCUUCAAAUAUAACCCC